rnacentral:misc_RNA from 1 species
GAUGAAGAACGCAGCGAAAUGUGAUAAGUAAUGUGAAUUGCAGAAUUCAGUGAAUCAUCGAAUCUUUGAACGCACAUUGCGCCCUCUGGUAUUCCGGGGGGCAUGCCUGUUCGAGCGUCAUUAUAACCACUCAAGCUCUCGCUUGGUAUUGGAGUUCGCGAUCUCGCGGCUCCUAAAAUCAGUGGCGGUGCCUGUCGGCUCUACGCGUAGUAAUACUCCUCGCGAUUGAGUCCGGUAGGUUUACUUGCCAGCAACCCCCAAUUUUUACAGGUUGACCUCGGAUCAGGUAGGGAUACCCGCUGAACUUAAGCAUAUCAAUAAGCGGAGGA